rnacentral:rRNA from 1 species
UACGACUACAUAUCAGGCAUAUCAAUAAGCGGAGGAAAAGAAACUAACAAGGAUUCCCUUAGUAACGGCGAGUGAAGCGGGAAGAGCUCAAAUUUGAAAUCUUCAAGGUUCUACCUUGACGAAUUGUAGUUUAUAGAAGUGUUUUCUGUAGUGGAGUUUGGUAAAAGUUCUUUGGAAUAGGACAUCAUAGAGGGUGAGAAUCCCGUAUUUGACCGUUAUUUUCAGCUGUGUGAUACACUUUCAAAGAGUCGGAUUGUUUGGGAAUGCAGUCCAAAAUGGGUGGUAAAUUUCAUCUAAAGCUAAAUAUUGGCGAGAGACCGAUAGCGAACAAGUACCGUGAGGGAAAGAUGAAAAGAACUUUGAAAAGAGAGUUAAACAGUACGUGAAAUUGUCAAAAGGGAAGCGUUUGACACCAGUGUUGUUUUCUCGAAAAUCAAUUAAGAAUGGCGGGAUUUUGUGUUGUAUUGACUUUAUCAGCUUUCUGCACUUUUUUCUUGUCUUUUUUAAUGCACUUUUCGUUUAACAAGUCAACAUCAAUUUCUUUUGUUGUAAAAGGGUCAUUGGAAGGUGGCUUUCACUUCGGUGCAAGUGUUUAUAGCCUUUGACUUCUGCAAUCGGAGAGAUUGAGGUCUGCAGCGUAGAUCCUUCGGGGUUAGAUACAUUUGUGCUAAGUUAUAGUUUUUCAUAGACAACAUGUUGACUAUGAUUAGUCUUGUAGCUUACUCGCUUAUGCUAUUUUACCUACGCUUAGGAUGUUG